rnacentral:misc_RNA from 1 species
UCUCUCUCUCUCUCUCUCUCUAAUAUUGAAGGGAACCUGUGCAAAAACAACAUUGGAGCUUUGAUCAAACACCUUAAACUUGCUGCGUAUGACAUGAACUAACACAAAAGAAAGACAACAUAUUAUCAAUUAUUGAGAGACACUUCCUAGAUCAAUCUUUGCCAAUGUCUCCCUGAAUUUCUUUUCUCAAUGCACAAGAGCAGAUCCUGAAAAAACAAGAAUCAAAACCUCAAUUCUUUUUCAAUUAUUUUAGAUAAAGAAUUCUGAACCAAUAACUAAAGACAGACUUCCUCAAACCAAAGAUCUAUACAUUCUCAAACCAAUGGAUAGGAAGAAAGUCCAAACUCACUUUGCUGUUAUUAAGAAGCAUUAGACCAAAUUACAGUCAGAUUACACAAAAACCAUAAUAAAAAAUUAUAAAAACGAAAAAAAGAAAAAAAAAAGGGAAAUAGAUAACAAUGGUCCCCCAAAUAUUGUUAUUCACCCAAAACCAAGGGAUCAAGCCUGCACACGUAUUCUCAAAACAAUGGGAAAUGGCAGCCAGAACAUAAAAGCUCAUACCCAAGCUGUAAUUAAGAAGCUGAAACAAAAUUGAUGUUCAAUGUGCAAAAAAAAUAGUUGUCAUUUUCCAACAGUUCCAAAAAAAAGGGAAAAAAAAAGUAGUAGUUCUGAGCACAAGGGUUCAGAUAUUAACAAAUAAUUGCAAAAGAGGGGAAAAAAAUACUUCAGGCUUUUCCAACCACAGACUUCAAAAAUAUGAACUGACCCUGAAAGAAAAAAAUUCAAUUGUUCAUAAUUAUAUCAUUGUUCUACUUAAAGAUAUGUAUCUGAGAAAAACAGAAAUUUCACACUCCCUCCCAAAGGUAGAUUUCAGAUAAAGCAGCAAUAACCAAAUGUCUCCCUGAUCCAUCUUUGUCCACAUGGUCCUCAGACUCAAAACACUUGAGCCCUGAAAGCACAUGCAUGAGAAAACAUACCAACUGAAAUUAAAAUCCUUUAAAAAUUGGGAUUCAUAAAUUAUUGCUGACUAAAGAAACAAAAUAGAGAAGGGGAAAAGCCCAGUCACUCUUGGCAAAAACUUUUUCAUGAUUAGUCCACCACACUGAUUAAAUCUUGAAAAAUUACAACUAAAAAAAAUAAAACUAAAAUUCACAGAAUCUACCAAAUACAGAUUCUUAAAACUAUAAAUUAUAGCUUGAGAUCCAAGGUCCCUCAUCUGAGAAAAUCCCUUCGCCUUUAAUCAAUCAUUAACCCACAUGGUCAACAGAAGGCAGAAACCACCUAGGGAAACAAUAAUCAAAUCUCAAGUUUCAAAUUAUCUGCCAAGAACAAAGUUGUUUAAACAAAAAGGAAAGGCAAGAUAUUUAAAUAGCUCUGCAUUGCAUCCAUGACUGAAAACAGAAAGUGCGAAUUUUAGAAUUAUCAAAAGCAGAACACAAGACCGAAUCUCAGAUACCCACAACAUACCUACAUAGCAUGAGCUAAAUACAUCAACUUUCCCUUUCCAACAUCAACUGAUCUCUCUAUGCAUCAAGUGUUAUCUUUAGUUAACACCUUAAACUUGCAAUGUAGAACACCAAUGCAAUGAGAAAUUAUGGUGUAAUUAGUAAACACUUGCCAAUCUUAGUGCAUGUGAAGCCAUCAAUUUCUCAAAUGAAUAAAUCACUAGAAACUUUGAUUUCGUAACUUAUCUAUUUAAACCAAUAACUGGCAGAGACUCUGUCAGGCCUAUCCACACGCCAUCAAAACAACUCACUGGAAGAAAACAAAAGCUUACAUUGAAAUUGUGAUCUAGAAGAAUAAACCAAUUUAAUGAUAAAGCCGUUAUCUUAAAUAACCCCCCUCUUAUGCACCCAUGAGAUCCUGGCAACACGCAAAAGGCAAGCUCCAACUUAAUCACCUUGAACGUCCAUACCACAUCAACAUAACAAGAAAUAACAGCAAACUUAUUAUUGUAUAAAAAAAAUUCCUGUCAAUAAUUGGUGCAUUGUGAAAAAUCCUGAAUUUCUCAAUCCACUUGGGCAGUCCCGAAAAAGCAAGCAUUCUAAGUUCUUACAUUCUUGUUUUUUAAGUCGAAAUUUUUUAAAUCAAUAAACUAAGGCACUAACCUAUCCAAAUUCUAAACUGUUUAAAUCAAUAAUCAAGGCACAAACCUAUCCAAAUUCUCAAAACAAUGGGGAGUUUUAGGAAAUUCAUAGAAGCGCAUACCACAACUAAAACUUUACAAGAGAUCAUUCUCAAUCGCUAAAAAGGAAGGAAAUAAAGAGACGAACAAAAAUAAAAAACAAUUAUUGGAUACCCAAAAUCUUUUAGGAAACAAAGGAUACCUGACAAGCAGCAUUAACCACCCAAUCCGGGUAGAACAACAGAGAGAGAGAGAGAG